AACGAACGCUGGCGGCAGGCUUAACACAUGCAAGUCGAACGCCCCGCAAGGGGAGUGGCAGACGGGUGAGUAACACGUGGGAAUCUACCCAUCCCUACGGAACAACUCCGGGAAACUGGAGCUAAUACCGUAUACGCCCUUUUGGGGAAAGAUUUAUCGGGGAUGGAUGAGCCCGCGUCGGAUUAGCUAGUUGGUGGGGUAAAGGCCUACCAAGGCGACGAUCCGUAGCUGGUCUGAGAGGAUGAUCAGCCACACUGGGACUGAGACACGGCCCAGACUCCUACGGGAGGCAGCAGUGGGGAAUAUUGGACAAUGGGCGCAAGCCUGAUCCAGCCAUGCCGCGUGAGUGAUGAAGGCCUUAGGGUUGUAAAGCUCUUUCGCCAGGGACGAUAAUGACUGUACCUGGAUAAGAAGCCCCGGCUAACUUCGUGCCAGCCGCCGCAGUAACAC
rnacentral:rRNA from 1 species